ACAAGACGCGUCCUGGAAAGAUUGGCUGUCCAGUAUGUUUCACGACGCAUGGCAUGGAAGCUUCUUAAAGGUUUCCUUUUCUGUCUGCAAGCGUAAAUCUGUAGUCCUUGCUGAUUGACAUUGAGGAAGCCUAGCAUUUUUCAAUUUCUGCAGAUGUUCCCAAGUCAGCUGCACGCAAGGCUCAAAGGGGAAUGUCUAGUGUGACCUAUUUUUGCAGUGUUACAAAAACAACAUGCAGAGGUUUAACAUUAUCUGUUCAACACACUUCUCUUAUUUUUCACCUAGGCUAGCUACAAUUCUUGAUUCUUCAUCUCCCACAUGAUCAGGUCAUUCUCUGGGAGUUUUGGCAUCAUGGUUUGUGCAAGUUGGCAUUGAUAUGUGGCGAUUUUUCAAAUCUAAACAAGAUGAUGACACGCCUGAUAGAUCACAAAAAGUUAAGCUUCUAGGAAGGAAGAUUUCCAUAGUUACUGUCAGAUGUGGUGCAUCUCUUGUUUUCGCUUCUAUAGGGGCAGGGAUAGGGGCAAUGAUGUUUCGCCCUACAACUGGCCAGUGGAUUGGUAAGCUCACAAUAUGCUUUUCAGUAUCUAUAACGAACAGCAACUUUGCUAGAAGUAAUCAAAUUAUAAUUUUUCAGGAUGCGCUAUCGGAGAUGUGGCUGGACCAGUCAUUCUAGCCUUUUGCUUUGACAAAGUUCUUCAUAUUGAACUGUGAUGACUUUCUUCUUGGUCAUACAUCUAGGACAUGAUUAAUACAAGGGUAAUGUGGUUGAUCUAGAGCCUUCUCCCUCCCCCUUACCCACAAAAGAAGUGGCAAUCCAGUGCUUUUUUUUGACUUAGUUGAUUCCAUUAGCUCUGGAAUAUUAUUCGUCAUAGAUACAUUAACCAAUUUAUAACAUUAUGUUCUUUUUUUUCUGGAUUUUAUUUAUGCUUUCUGGUUCAUAAUGUCCUUCCUAUGGAUGGUCGUAGUUGGUCUGGUGAAUCAUUUGAUUUGUCGAUCAAUAAAGGAAAGCGUUUGCUUGGACAAGUCGCCGUCAAAGGUGCUUGUCAAUUAGGAGUAUUAAGGAACAAGCAUAUUUUAAUUAGAUGUUCCUUAUGGGAGGAUUUUGUAAGUGUAAUGACUAAGAACUCCUAUUACAUCAAGGAUAGGGAUAGUAAUAUUCGUUUCAGAUGCGGCCUUUAAUAGAUGACUCUAUAUCUAGAGUUGAUAGAGAGAACAUUUAAUGCCCUAAUCUAGCCCCAACUUUCUUUGUUAAAGAAAUCCUCUUUACACUUGCCUUAGCUCCAACUUUCUUUGCUAAAGAAACCCUCUUUACACUUGCCUUAGCUGUGGGGCAAACCGUUGUAUUUGGACAUCGAAACCAUAAACAAAACUCGACCCAACUGUGCUAGAGUGAAAGUUUUGGUGGACCUCAAAGCCAACCUUCCUAAAUUUGUUAACAUGGAGAUCUGCAAUGAAACUACACGAGCUAGUAGGAAUACACAAGUUAAAAUUCAAAUAUGAUCAUAUGCCUAAGUACUGUUUUUAGUGUAAAAUACUAAGGCACAUGAUGGAGAACUGGUAGUGAGAUAGUAGGUUCUCCACAAUAGCAAAAAAAAAAAGGAUUUCUUUUCCUCCGAAGAUAUUGACCAGUGGAAAGAUUGCUGGUGAUAAGUGUGGAUGAAAUUAAAAAUAAGAAGGUGGUCACAAUGGAUAGUAAGAAAAGCAAUUCUCAAGAUUUGCAUCAGCAAACUGAUACAGCCACAGAAAUCAACACACAACAAUUUUGCAACACAAACAGAAGAGGUGGAGAAUAUCAAUGCAAAUGAAGUUCAACAAAGCCCCACAAAGUCAAAGUGAAAAAAUAUGUACUCCCAUCCAGAAAAAUACUAAAUUCCAGGAAGCAGUAAUCAAAACUCUGUUCAAGGCACAAAGUUGAAAAAUUUGUUCAAAAACACAGAAGGUGUGGCAGACAAGGUGGUAGAUGUCCCAAAAGGAGGUGUGGCAGACAAGGUGGUAGAUGUCCCAAAAGGAGGUGUAACAGAACUUGCUUUAGUCAAUCAGUCCACUCCUAAAACUACUGGAUCUAGGAAAUGGGGUGAUAGAAGAAGAUGAUGGUGUGAAAAAAAGAGAACUGCAGGUGUCGGGUUAAAAGUAGGAAAAUAGAAUGAAAGAGUAGAUUAGGAGAAACGAGGUGAAAAUCAAGGAGUGGACAUGAACCUUAUGCAUAUUGAUGAGGUUUAGUCCAAAGAGAUCAAUAUUAGCUCCCAUGAACAUUGAUCCUAUUUAGGCUGUACAAAGUGAUUGGAAACAGGUGGAAAUAUACAAUGACCAUGAUAAUUUUGAUGAAAAGAUGGGAGUCUAAUUUGGAGAAGAUAACUGACUAGGGGAAUUUAAACUUGGAUCAAAUCAGUGAUCAGGAGAAUUCAAAUAAAGAACUGUCACCAAAUAGGAAGUUACAUGCUAUUGUAACUCUUGAUUUGAAUAUAGAGGAAUUAGCGGAACUCAACAAGGAGGGGAAGUUGAAAAUUGAAGGAAAUAAAAGUUAUCAACAGUUUGAUACUUCUCUAAAAUCAAGAUAAGGAAGGAGGAACAAAAAGCAUGAUGUCUUAGCAAAUAAAUUACCCUCAAGGGUAAUCACAAGAGGUGCUGCCACCAAAAUUAAUCAAAAACAAUGAUGAAAGCAUUUAUAUGGGACAUUAGAUAUGUUAAAAGUCAUCAAGAUUUUAAUAGAGUUCAAAUGAUUCAUAAGCAUCACAAAUUCAGUUACAUAGCUCUUUUAGAGCCUUUUCAAAGAUAUACUCAGAUGGGUAAGUACAAGAGAAGGUUAAGUAUGGAGCAGACAGGUAGAAACUACAAUGGUAAGAUCUAGUAUGUUAUAGAGGAUAAUAUUGGGGUAGAAGUGGUUACUGACUGACUAAUCGAUCACUUUGAAAUUAACAUUCCCUGACAACAUUUGUUACACUACUCUAGUCUAUGCCAAAUGAAUUAAAAGAGAAAGACUGAGUUUGUGGGAUUCUAUACACCAGCUAGCUAAUUCCAUUACUUUACCUUGGCUUGGUGGAGGAGAUUUCCAUGUGAUUAUGAAUGGAGAGGAGAAAAUUGGCGGUCUUCAUGUCCUUCCAAAUGAAUAUGAGGAGUUUGCAUUUUUAUUGAACUCUUGUGAACCCUUUGAAACUGUUUUCAAAUGAAUAUGAGGAGUUUGCAUUUUUAUUGAACUCUUGUGAACCCUUUGAAACUGUUUUCAAAGUCCCCUUCACAUGGUGGAAUGGUAGAGCUGGUCCCAACUGUACUUUUAAGAGAUUGAAUAGAAUAGUAAUAAAUCAACAAUGACAAGAUUGGUUUGAAGAUGUGGAGGUGGAGCACUUGGCCAGAAUUGGGUCUGACCAUAUGCCCCAAUGACGAUUACUAUGAAGAAAAACAAGCAACAGUUUUAUAAACCCUUCAAAUUCUUGGCUUUCUGGAUAAAAAAUGAAGGGUUCAUGGAUAUUGUGAGAACCAAUUGGAAUGUUGAAGAAGGAAAUUCCUUUUACAGGUUCAUUUAAAAAAGAGAGAAGUAUGAUUACCCUGAA
rnacentral:lncRNA from 1 species